AGCGUUGCUCGGAAUCACUGGGCGUAAAGGGUGCGUAGGCGGGUCUUUAAGUCAGAGGGGAAAUCCUGGAGCUCAACUCCAGAACUGCCUUUGAUACUGAGGAUCUUGAGUUCGGGAGAGGUGAGUGGAACUGCGAGUGUAGAGGUGAAAUUCGUAGAUAUUCGCAAGAACACCAGUGGCGAAGGCGGCUCACUGGCCCGAUACUGACGCUGAGGCACGAAAGCGUGGGGAGCAAACAGG
rnacentral:rRNA from 1 species